CAAACGCCGGGAUUGCUCCUGGCUCAGCGUAUGAGUAGGCCUAGAUUCUGUGACGUUCGCGGCGGACGGGUGAGUAACACGUGGGCAACCUGCCUGUAAGACUGGGAUAACUUCGGGAAACCGAAGCUAAUACCGGAUAGGAUCUUCUCCUUCAUGGGAGAUGAUUGAAAGAUGGUUUCGGCUAUCACUUACAGAUGGGCCCGCGGUGCAUUAGCUAGUUGGUGAGGUAACGGCUCACCAAGGCAACGAUGCAUAGCCGACCUGAGAGGGUGAUCGGCCACACUGGGACUGAGACACGGCCCAGACUCCUACGGGAGGCAGCAGUAGGGAAUCUUCCGCAAUGGACGAAAGUCUGACGGAGCAACGCCGCGUGAGUGAUGAAGGCUUUCGGGUCGUAAAACUCUGUUGUUAGGGAAGAACAAGUACAAGAGUAACUGCUUGUACCUUGACGGUACCUAACCAGAAAGCCACGGCUAACUACGUGCCAGCAGCCGCGGUAAUACGUAGGUGGCAAGCGUUAUCCGGAAUUAUUGGGCGUAAAGCGCGCGCAGGCGGUUUCUUAAGUCUGAUGUGAAAGCCCACGGCUCAACCGUGGAGGGUCAUUGGAAACUGGGGAACUUGAGUGCAGAAGAGAAAAGCGGAAUUUCCACGUGUAGCGUGAAAUGCGUAGAGAUGUGGAGGAACACCAGUGGCGAAAGGCGGCUUUUUUGGGUCUGUAACUGACGCUGAGGCGCGAAAGCGGUGGGGAGCAAACAGGAAUUAGAUACUCCUGGUAGUCCACCCCCGUAAACCAAUAAGUUGCUAAAUUGUUAGAAGG
rnacentral:rRNA from 2 species